GAUGAACGCUGGCGGCGUGCCUAAUACAUGCAAGUCGAGCGAACAGACGAGGAGCUUGCUCCUCUGACGUUAGCGGCGGACGGGUGAGUAACACGUGGAUAACCUACCUAUAAGACUGGGAUAACUUCGGGAAACCGGAGCUAAUACCGGAUAAUAUAUUGAACCGCAUGGUUCAAUAGUGAAAGACGGUUUUGCUGUCACUUAUAGAUGGAUCCGCGCCGCAUUAGCUAGUUGGUAAGGUAACGGCUUACCAAGGCAACGAUGCGUAGCCGACCUGAGAGGGGGAUCGGCCACACUGGAACUGAGACACGGUCCAGACUCCUACGGGAGGCAGCAGUAGGGAAUCUUCCGCAAUGGGCGAAAGCCUGACGGAGCAACGCCGCGUGAGUGAUGAAGAUCUUCGGAUCGUAAAACUCUGUUAUUAGGGAAGAACAAAUGUGUAAGGAACUAUGCACGUCUUGACGGUACCUAAUCAGAAAGCCACGGCUAACUACGUG
rnacentral:rRNA from 1 species